rnacentral:tRNA from 1 species
GCCGAAGUGGUGGAAUUGGUAGACGCGCUGGAUUCAAAAUCCAGUAGGGGCAACCCUGUGACGGUUCGAGUCCGUCCUUCGGCA